rnacentral:rRNA from 1 species
CAGUCGCCACGGUAAUACGGAGGGUGCAGGCGUUAAUCGGAAUUACUGGGCGUAAAGCGUGCGUAGGCGGUUCGUUAAGUCUGUUGUGAAAGCCCCGGGCUCAACCUGGGAAUGGCAAUGGAUACUGGCGAGCUAGAGUGUGUCAGAGGAUGGUGGAAUUCCCGGUGUAGCGGUGAAAUGCGUAGAGAUCGGGAGGAACAUCAGUGGCGAAGGCGGCCAUCUGGGACAACACUGACGCUGAGGCACGAAAGCGUGGGGAGCAAACAGGAUUAGAUACCCCAGUAGUCCCUGUCUCUUAUAC